rnacentral:rRNA from 1 species
UAGACCCUGAGAGACGGGCCAGCUCUUCUUGGAUGAGUUGCGAACGGGUGAGUAACGCGUACCCUUUUGCCUUGUAGCGGGGGAUAACUAUUGGAAACGAUAGCUNAUACCGCAUAACAAUGGAUGACACAUGUCAUUUAUUUGAAAGGGGCAAUUGCUCCACUACAAGAUGGACCUGCGUUGUAUUAGCUAGUAGGUGAGGUAAUGGCUCACCUAUGCGACGAUACAUAGCCGACCUGAGAGGGUGAUCGGCCACACUGGGACUGAGACACGGGCCA